AAUAAGAUUAUUUUUUAGUUUCUAAAUACAAUGGUUUGACCUUUUGUCUUAUUUGAAAUUUUUUUGCAAUUUAUAUUUUUAUUUUUACUAGAUGAUAGAAUAUAAAUAAUAUUUUAUGUGUGACUAAUUUUUUUAAGUUUUUAUAUAAAUUUUUUAAAGAAGACGAAUUGUCAAAGUAUUGGAUACAGAAAUCGAAAAACGACUUUAUU
rnacentral:pre_miRNA from 1 species